rnacentral:misc_RNA from 1 species
AACGCACAUUGCGCCCCUUGGUAUUCCGGGGGGCAUGCCUGUUCGAGCGUCAUUUCAACCCUCAAGCUCUGCUUGGUAUUGGGCUCCGUCCUCAGGGACGCGCCUCAAAGACCUCGGCGGUGGCGUCUUGCCUCAAGCGUAGUAGAAAACACCUCGCUUUGGAGCGCACGGCGUCGCCCGCCGGACGAACCUUUGAAUUUUUCUCAAGGUUGACCUCGGAUCAGGUAGGGAUACCCGCUGAACUUAA